rnacentral:tRNA from 1 species
AGCGGGAUAGAGCAGUUGGCAGCUCGUCGGGUUCAUUCCCCGAAGGUCGUGGGUUCAAAUCCCACUCCUGCAA